GGUUCGAUUCCGGAGAGGGAGCCUGAGAAACGGCUACCANAUCCAAGGAAGGCAGCAGGCGCGCAAAUUACCCAAUCCCAAUACGGGGAGGUAGUGACAAUAAAUAACAAUAUGGGGCUCUUACGGGUCUCGUAAUUGGAAUGAGUACAAUUUAAAUCUCUUAACGAGGAACAAUUGGAGGGCAAGUCUGGUGCCAGCAGCCGCGGUAAUUCCAGCUCCAAUAGCGUAUAUUAAAGUUGUUGCAGUUAAAAAGCUCGUAGUUGAAUUUCGGAGUUUGUCGGUUGGUCGGGCUUCACUGUCCGCACUGGCCUGAUGGAUUCCUACCUUCUGAAUAACCAGCAUGCUAUUAAGUUAGUGCGUUGGGGAAGCAGAGCUAUUACCUUGAAAAAAUUAGAGUGCUUAAAGCAGGCUUUUGCUUGAAUAGAUUAGCAUGGAAUAAUAAAAUAGGACGGCAUGGUUCUAUUUUGUUGGUUUCUAGGAUCACCGUAAUGAUUAGUAGGGAUAGUUGGGGGCAUUAGUAUUCAAUUGUCAGAGGUGAAAUUCUUGGAUUUAUUGAAGACUAACUUCUGCGAAAGCAUUUGCCAAGGAUGUUUUCAUUAAUCAAGAACGAAAGUUAGGGGAUCGAAGACGAUCAGAUACCGUCGUANNCUUAACCAUAAACUAUGCCGACUAGGGAUCGGACGAUGUUAAUUUUU
rnacentral:rRNA from 1 species